AACGAACGCCGGCGGCAUGCCUAACACAUGCAAGUCGAACGAUGCCUUCGGGCAUAGUGGCGCACGGGUGCGUAACGCGUGGGAAUCUGCCUUUCGGUUCGGAAUAACUCAGGGAAACUUGAGCUAAUACCGGAUAACGUCGCAAGACCAAAGAUUUAUCACCGAAAGAUGAGCCCGCGUAGGAUUAGCUAGUUGGUGAGGUAAAGGCUCACCAAGGCGACGAUCCUUAGCUGGUCUGAGAGGAUGAUCAGCCACACUGGGACUGAGACACGGCCCAGACUCCUACGGGAGGCAGCAGUGGGGAAUAUUGGACAAUGGGCGAAAGCCUGAUCCAGCAAUGCCGCGUGAGUGAUGAAGGCCUUAGGGUUGUAAAGCUCUUUUACCCGGGAAGAUAAUGACGGUACCGGGAGAAUAAGCCCCGGCUAACUCCGUG
rnacentral:rRNA from 1 species